AUUUCGUGAUGAGGGCACUCCCUUAAUAAUUCUGUAUACCUUUCCCAUGCCUCAUACAAAGACUCAUGAUCCAUUUGUUGGAAAACAAUGAUCUCAUUCCUCAACUU
rfam:Gossypium arboreum cultivar AKA8401 contig_1158_5, whole genome shotgun sequence.